GACUGCACAUCUCCCAGCUCCCCAGCCUGGGAAUCCUGGGGACAACAGGGGGUCAGCAGCAAGCAAGCCCACAGUUCACUGCAGACUGAGAAAACAUCAAAUCAGAACUAUAGAGAUUGACAUGGCUGACGAUUCAGCAAUUUUGAUGUCCUGGAAAAUUUAAUGAAGAGGAGAGGGAGACAAUAGUAUUCAUUAGGAUGACUUCAGCUUCUGUGAAAUUGAGGGUCUGCGGUGCAAGUUUCAUUUGAUUGCUUAAAUGGCGGUGCUCCGGA